GACUUAAUUUAAUAAAGGCUUGUGAAGUACUUUGGAAAGGAAAAGAGCUCGUAAGGAUUUUCUGCCUCCUGCCUCCUGGACUUGCUGUAGCAAGACCAGAGAAGAG
rnacentral:lncRNA from 12 species